UAGCGACAGGCUUAACACGAUGCAAGUCGAGGGGCGAGCGGGCGAGUGGCAACACUUGCUGUCGGCGACCGGCGCACUGGUGAGUAACACGUAUGCAACCUGCCCCUUCUGGGAGAUAACCCAUAGAAAUGUGGCCUAAUAUCCCAUAGUCGGUCCAGCCGCAUGGCCGGGCCGGGAAAGGCGAGCCGGAAGGGGAUGGGCAUGCGGCGCAUUAGCUAGUUGGCGGGGCAGAGGCCCACCAAGGCGACGAUGCGUAGGGGUUCUGAGAGGAAGGUCCCCCACAUUGGUACUGAGACACGGACCAAACUCCUACGGGAGGCAGCAGUGAGGAAUAUUGGUCAAUGGGCGGGAGCCUGAACCAGCCAAGUCGCGUGAGGGAGGAAGGUCCUACGGAUUGUGAACCUCUUUAGCCGGGGAGCAACGUGCGCCACGCGUGGCGCAAUGAGAGUACCCGGAGAAUAAGCAUCGGCUAACUCCGUGCC
rnacentral:rRNA from 1 species